UCAAUGCUCCCGACAGCCCUGCACAUCCCUUCUUCCGAGCCGCCCUUCCCGCCGUCCAGAGGGAGAAUGCAUUCCUUUGACUCCGCUUAGCAAACCGAGGAUGGGGGCGAGGGACUCGUGUGCAGCCGGGGAAGCAAGGGACAAAAACACAGCCACUGCCCUCAAGGAACUGCUGAUUUUGUGGGAGAGACUGAGGGGUAAGCAGCUGCCCCAUGAGACGCCAGUCCUUGCUGUUUGCCGGCUGACACCUAGGAGGAGAGCGGGUAUGCAGCCAGCCCUCCGGCCUCUUUCGCUCCCGCAGCCCGAUUCCUGAGAUCCCGGGCCCCGCGCGCCUCCUGGUGGCUGUGUCUCGUCUGCGCAGCCUUUUCCCUCUGGAGCUGCAGGACGCGCACUAGGGUAAGACCUCAAGUCUGCGGGUCCCGGCGCUGAGGAUCUCUCUCGGUCCUCGGCGGUCUUCCUUCUGUCCCUCUGCGCACGUUUACCCCUUGAUGACUAAUUCCAGCCCAAUUCUGCCUCUGUGCCUGCCCUUUAUGGGUGCUAGGCAUCUUGUGUAUUUCUUCCCCACCAACCCCAUUUAGUAGGUGACGUAAAGAGUAUGUCACGGUAGAAAUAAUACGUGGUGCGGAUUGGACCUAAAUCCAGGGAGCUUGAUGCCAAAGUUACACCUGUUACUGAUCUGCCCGAUAGCAAAUAAUCUGACGUCUAAAGCGAUUGGCGAUUGAUGGAUAUUCUACGUUGGAGUCAAUUUCCUUUAGGAGGGGGAAAGUGAGUCUGGAUCCUCUGAAUCUCAUUGGCUUAGGCUGGAUUCCCUGCUCCUCUGGAGUGCAUGGUUAUACUUUCCACAUUCUAGUAUGGGGAUCAAGACCCCAAGACUCCACUAGUCCUUCUAGGGCUUUCUUCCAGGGACGUAGGUGCCCUCCUAUUGUCGUAAACAGGACUGGAGUGGUCUGCUGUAAAAUCUCGUCUCCUCUAAGUGAGUAUGCGGAUGAACACUCUGGCUUACUAUAAAGCAAGCCCUAAAAUCGAGGAACAAAACACCAAAAAGUGUCUCUCUUUUGGGAGACAUUGAUCGUUGGGAGGGAGUUUCAGAGACAGCAAGGUACCCUCAGGAAGCAGCCUAAGGAUUUCUCCUACAGUUCUGACCCAGCGUCCAUCAGCAGGAACCUCACUGCCCCAUAAGCAAACUCGACCAUCUUAGCCCAGUGGUUUCCAUGGUAACCAUCAAAGACUGUCCCCUUUUCUUUCCUACAGAUGUUCAACCCACCUCUCCCUCCACCAGUCACUUUCAGACAUGACCUAGAACUGGAUUCUAUGCAAAUACUAUUUGCAAAGGCUGUAAAACAAGCAAACCCACAAAGAAGACUCUGCGACAGAGACUAGAUGUCCCCCCCGGCGGCCGGGUCCGAUCUGUUAACCGUCUCUGCUGUAGGCUGGCUGGAGCCCUGGUGAAAGGUGGCUUUUCUUCCACCCAGGCAGCCAUGACAAGAGAAGUGUUCCACUCGAUGCUGAUCAAAAGGAAGAUGGGCUUUGGAUAAAGCUGACCCCUGGGGAGGAAGGCAGAGCUGAGAGAAUAGCAGAAUAUGGUGCUGGAGCCCAGAACAUGCAAUGCCUGAAGCUUACCCCACUCCAGUUACCUGUAAGGGAGCUAAUAAAUUGCUUUAUAUUUUAAGCCCAUUUGAUGGGGCUUUCUGACUCUCAGGGCCAAAAACAGUCUAACAGACUCAGUCUGCAUGGUGUUAGAUUUUGGGUUUUUACCCCAAGAACAGGGGAAAGUCAUUAUGAGGUAUAAGCAAGGAGAGUUCAGGGAGAGGGUAACGUGAUCAGAUCCUCAUUUCGGAGCAUCACUCUG